ensembl:miRNA pma-mir-22a pma-mir-22a
CCCUGGCCGCCCCACUGCAGCCCUUCGCUGGCCAGCUUUAGUUCCGGCCGAGGCGAGUAAAGCUGCCAGUUGAAGAGCUAUAGUGGGCGGCCACGC